GCAGCAGGGUGGGCACUGCGGGGGAGCUGUCGCCUACAUCUGGCACCUCCAUACAGCUGAGGCCAAGCAAGAAGACACUUGCUCCCCCUCCCUCUCCUUCCCCCUCCCCUCCCCUUCCUCCACUCAUCCUAGGAUACUCUUCUGCUGGAAGCUUAGACAAAUAUUUAAAGGGGCAGUUGGGGGUGGGAGGAGCAUGGUAGGAACAAACAUUUCCUUCCCUCUCUUCUUCCCCUAGCGGCUCAGGGGCUCUCAGCUCACAUGCCAUGCUGUUGGACAACCUUGAAGCUGAGGUCCUCCAGCUGGAGAGGGAUUCCUUUGGGGACAGGGGAGCCUGCCAGGGCUGAAGAGUAGGGGGCCAACUCCUGGUCAAGGAGCAGGGACAAGGUGUGAGGGAGCCUGGAACCUGGGUGACAUUUUAGAGUUAAAGUGCAGCUGGUUCUCUGUAUCCAUGGGUUUCACAUUUGCCAAUUCAACCAAAAGUAGAUGGAAAGUAUUUGUGGGAGAAAAACACUGUCCGGGCUGAACAUGUACGGAUUUUUUUCCUUGUUAUUAUUCCCUAAGCAAUCCAGUAUAACAACUAUUUGCAUAUCAUUUACAUUGUAUUAGGUAUUAUAAGUCAUCUAGAAAUGAUUUAAAGUAUAUGGGAGGCUGACUGUAAUCCCAGUGGC
rnacentral:lncRNA from 1 species